rnacentral:rRNA from 1 species
GAUGAACGCUGGCGGCGUGCCUAAUACAUGCAAGUCGAGCGAACAGACGAGGAGCUUGCUCCUCUGACGUUAGCGGCGGACGGGUGAGUAACACGUGGAUAACCUACCUAUAAGACUGGGAUAACUUCGGGACACCGGAGCUAAUACCGGAUAAUAUAUUGAACCGCAUGGUUCAAUAGUGAAAGACGGUUUUGCUGUCACUUAUAGAUGGAUCCGCGCCGCAUUAGCUAGUUGGUAAGGUAACGGCUUACCAAGGCAACGAUGCGUAGCCGACCUGAGAGGGUGAUAGCCCACACGGGAACGGAGACGCGGUCCAGACUCCUACGGGAGGCAGCAGUAGGGUAUCGUACGCAAUGGGCGAAAGCCUGACGGAGCAACGCCGCGUGAGUGAUGACGGUCUUCGGAUCGUAAAACUCUGUUAUUAGGGAAGAACAAAUGUGUAAGUAACUAUGCACGUCUUGACGGUACCUAAUCAGAAAGCCACGGCUAACUACGUG